CCAAUAGCGUAUAUUAAGGUUGCUGCGGUUAAAACGCUCGUAGUUGAAUUUCGGGAUUGAUGCAUCGGUCGUGCCUUAAGGGGUAUGAACUGGUGUGGUCAAUUUCUUACCUUCUGGUGAAUUGUGAUGUCCUCCUUAAUUGGGUGUUUCAAUGAACUAGGACUUUUUACUUUGAAAAAAUUAGAGUGUUUAAAGCAGGCAUUAUUUGCUUGAAUACAUUAGCAUGGAAUAAUAAAAUAGGACAAUGAUUCUAUUUUGUUGGUUUCUAGGAUCACUGUAAUGAUUAAUAGGGAUAGUUGGGGGCAUUAGUAUUCAAUUGUCAGAGGUGAAAUUCUUGGAUCAAUUGAAGACUAACUACUGCGAAAGCAUUUGCCAAGGAUAUUUUCAUUAAUCAAGAACGAAAGUUAGGGGAUCGAAGACGAUUAGGUACGUCGUAGUCUUAACCAUAAACUAUGCCGACUAGGAAUCAGACAACGUUAAAUUUUUAAUGACUUGUUUGGCACCUUACG
rnacentral:rRNA from 1 species